rnacentral:rRNA from 1 species
CCUACGUGCGGCAGCAGUGAGGAAUAUUGGUCAAUGGGCGCGAGCCUGAACCAGCCAAGUAGCGUGAAGGAUGACUGCCCUACGGGUUGUAAACUUCUUUUAUAAAGGAAUAAAGUGAGGCACGUGUGCCUUUUUGUAUGUACUUUAUGAAUAAGGAUCGGCUAACUCCGUGCCAGCAGCCGCGGUAAUACGGAGGAUCCGAGCGUUAUCCGGAUUUAUUGGGUUUAAAGGGAGCGUAGAUGGGGUGUUCAGUCAGUUGUGAAAGUUUGCGGCUCAACCGUAAAAUUGCAAUUGAUACUGGCAGUCUUGAGUACAGUUAAGGUAGGCGGAAUUCGUGGUGUAGCGGUGAAAUGCUUAGAUAUCACGAAGAACCCCGAUUGCGAAGGCAGCUUACUAAACUGUGACUGACAUUGAUGCUCGAAAGUGUGGGUAUCAAACAGGAUUAGAUACCCGGGUAGUC